GAUGAAGAACGCAGCGAAAUGCGAUAAGUAAUGUGAAUUGCAGAAUUCAGUGAAUCAUCGAAUCUUUGAACGCACAUUGCGCCCCGUGGUAUUCCGCGGGGCAUGCCUGUUCGAGCGUCAUUACACCACUCAAGCCUCGCUUGGUAUUGGGCGACGCGGUACGCCGCGCGCCUCAAAUCUUCCGGCUGGUUCGAAUCGUCCCUCAGCGUUGUGGAAACUAUUCGCUAAAGGUGCGCGUUUCGGUCACGCCGUUAAACAAGCCAAUUUCAUUAAAGGUUGACCUCGGAUCAGGUAGGGAUACCCGCUGAACUUAAGCAUAUCAAUAACGGAGGA
rnacentral:misc_RNA from 1 species